GAGAGAGAGAGAGAGAGGAGGAGGAAAAACCUCUCUUUAACUCAAGAAUGGCCCAAUUGAUCAAAUUAGGAUGGAGAUUGGAGCUAAAUCAUAUGCAUGAGCUUAGAUUCUGAAUCAUCUAGACAAGAUAAACAUGUGGAUCAUGUCAAGGUGGGUGGAAGCGUGGAAGGCUAACGUCAAGGAUGCUGGGAAGCAAGUACGAAACGGACGCUUAAGGUAUGGGAACGCCGGACUCUCGAGGAAUUGAUGUCGGACUCGAGUAAAUAAAAUUGAGAGGAUGUUUUUAAUGGAAUACCUUACGUAGUAGAAUGUGAUAUAGCCUCUUUAAGUAUAUGUAUUAAAUUAUAUAUGAUGUUACCAUGUACUAACGUGUUGGUUAUAUAUAGU